UACGAAGGGGGCUAGCGUUGUUCGGAGUUACUGGGCGUAAAGGGCGCGUAGGCGGCAGUUCAAGUCGGGUGUGAAAGCCCGGGGCUCAACCCCGGAAUAGCACUCGAGACUGGGCAGCUUGAGGAUGGGAGAGGAUGGUGGAAUUCCCAGUGUAGAGGUGAAAUUCGUAGAUAUUGGGAAGAACACCGGUGGCGAAGGCGGCCAUCUGGACCAUUUCUGACGCUGAGGCGCGAAAGCGUGGGGAGCAAACAGG
rnacentral:rRNA from 1 species